rnacentral:rRNA from 1 species
GACGAACGCUGGCGGCGUGCCUAAUACAUGCAAGUCGAACGGUCUUUUCUAUGGAAGCUUGCUUCCGCUGAGAAGGUAGUGGCGAACGGGUGAGUAACACGUGGGUAACCUGCCCAUAAGAGGGGGAUAACAUCCGGAAACGGGUGCUAAUACCGCAUAGGUUUCUUGGUCGCAUGAUCGAGAAAGGAAAGACGGCCUUUGUGCUGUCGCUUAUGGAUGGACCCGCGGCGUAUUAGUUAGUUGGUGAGGUAACGGCUCACCAAGACGAUGAUACGUAGCCGACCUGAGAGGGUGAUCGGCCACAUUGGGACUGAGACACGGCCCAAACUCCUACGGGAGGCAGCAGUAGGGAAUCUUCCGCAAUGGACGAAAGUCUGACGGAGCAACGCCGCGUGAGUGAAGAAGGUUUUCGGAUCGUAAAACUCUGUUGUCAGAGAAGAACAAGUCGGAGAGUAACUGCUCCGGCCUUGACGGUAUCUGACCAGAAGGCCACGGCUAACUACGUGCCAGCCGCCGCUGUAAUAC